CCUACGGGAGGCAGCAGUAGGGAAUCUUCCACAAUGGGCGAAAGCCUGAUGGAGCAACGCCGCGUGGGUGAAGAAGGCCUUCGGAUCGUAAAACACUGUUGUUAGAGAAGAAAGUGCGUGAGAGUAACUGUUCACGUUUCGACGGUAUCUAACCAGGAAGCCACGGCUAACUACGUGCCAGCAGCCGCGGUAAUACGGAGGUGGCAAGCGUUAUCCGGAUUUAUUGGGCGUAAAGGGCACGCAGGCGGUCUUUUAAGUCUGAUGUGAAAGCCUUCGGCUUAACCGGGGUAGUGCAUUGGAAACUGGGAGACUUGAGUGCAGAAGAGGAGAGUGGAACUCCAUGUGUAGCGGUGAAAUGCGUAGAUAUAUGGAAGAACACCAGUGGCGAAAGCGGCUCUCUGGUCUGUAACUGACGCUGAGGUUCGAAAGCGUGGGUAGCAAACAGGAUUAGAUACCCUUGUAGUC
rnacentral:rRNA from 1 species